rnacentral:lncRNA from 1 species
AAAAAGAUCUGGAAAAGUUGCCAAGGAGUCACAAGAAAAAGAUGAUAAUUCAGUAGUUGAAUUAACAAAAGUCUCACAGCAGACUGUACAAAGUGCAGAAUGAGUGACUGUGGAUAAUGUAGUCAUGCAAGAUGUUGUUGAUCCAAAUGAUUAUGUUACACAAUCUGGUAUGGUAAAGGAUGCAACGAAAAUGAAUGUUGAGAUGAAUACUGCAACAAAUUCUGUGAAUGAUAGGAUUGAUGCUGAUCACCAUGAAAUGGCUAGGAAUCCUGGGACUACUGCUAUAUCUGAUACACCAAAUGCAGCAAAUCCAGUUGAGUCUGUGCAGGAGAUAUUGAAGCUGGAUAAAGGACCCUCGAAGCAUUCUGCAGAAGCACCUGCUUCUGUUCCAAGUCUUCCAUCUACACAUGCUCAUUCAAUGCCAAUUACUGAUAUAGCAUAGCACUGUAAAUUUUCUGUUAGAUCCAGUCUGAAUGUUCCCA